rnacentral:rRNA from 1 species
UACGUAGGGUGCAAGCGUUGUCCGGAAUUAUUGGGCGUAAAGAGCUCGUAGGCGGUUCGUCGCGUCGGCUGUGAAAACCCGGAGCUCAACUCCGGGCCUGCAGUCGAUACGGGCGGACUGGAGUUCGGCAGGGGAGACUGGAAUUCCCGGUGUAGCGGUGAAAUGCGCAGAUAUCGGGAAGAACACCCGUGGCGAAGGCGGCACUCUGGGACGGUACUGACGCUGAGACGCGAAAGCGUGGGGAGCGAACAGG